GAAUGUGAUGUUAUUGUAAUCUGGAAAUGAUUAAAAAAAUAGAUUUACAUUUUAAAUGACUAACAGUACAAUACAAUGAAUAACUUCAGUCUAAGGUAUCUCAAAACUUUCAGCUAAAAAUUAAUCAAGUCAAAAUUUCCAUGUCCAAAAAUAUAGAUUACAAGCCACCAUGAGGUUCAGAACACUCUUCCACCAGAAGAUGAUCAUCAUGCCCAUCGCUAUCUUCUAUGCAGGCUGCCAUAGGCAGAGAGGGGUGUAACUCUGGUUGGGGGAAUUGUAGCUUCAGCCGAAAUGCAUCAACUCCAUUCAGAUAGUACCGGAAUAGCCGUUUUGCUCUAAUAAACCCAAGACGGCCAUAUAAAGCAAGUGCCCCUUUGUUUGUGACUUCAGCUUCUAAUGUCACCUUCAGAAAAUAUGCAAAUAAUGCUACAUGAUCAGUUGUCAUUUAGCAUAAAUGAAAAGAAACCAUAUAGCCUGUUCAACUAAUUUAAAAGUUGGAGCCUUGUUAAGCAUCAUGAGCUAGCUUUUUGUCUCCCUCUUCCAAAGAGAAAAUGACUAGCAUGAAUCUUAAGUACAAUUGGGAUUUGUUCCAGCAAAGGCCAAAAGCAAAUAGAAAGAAAAAGUACACCUGGACUCCUAAGCAAUGGAAUGGCUGAAAAAAUAGUAAAUAGUUCAUUCAAGCUGUAUAUCCUAACUUCCAGGUAGAUGAGGAAAACAAUUCUAGAUUGAAGCCAACUCAAUAUCCUUUUUCUAAAUAUUUCCCGGUUCUUAAAUCUAUAUCUUUGCAUAAUUUGAGGAAAGGGUACAAAGGCAUCCAAGAAGUUUAUCAUAUAAUAUCCAGGAAUCAAAAUAACGCAUUAGUUUGAUCAGCAGGAAAACAAGUAAAUCUCAACAAAAUUCAGCUGCAAUGCCUCACCAAAGCAUUGAGUCUUUGAACUAAAACAACAUGGUGAUAAAACCAAACCUCUCACUAAUAAGUGAGGAUUGCCUCCCCUGUAGUCUGAACAGGCGCACAACUGACAGAAGCUUUUAAAGUUUGAUUAUGAGCAUGUUUGGGAAGGCAGACAUGGGAAAUUUUGGCUAAAAGCCAACCUCUCAUGCCAGGAUCACUGACAACCCCUUUAUUUGCUUUCCUCAUUCUUAUAGGUAUUUUCAUUCCAGAUUUGAGCUAAGAUGCAUUAACAGACCUGCUAAUUUACAUAGAGAAAGGAGAAACAAAAGCCAUGUCCCUGAAUGAUAAUAUGAACUUUUUCUCAUGCACAACACUUGGUUUUUAUACAAUAGUAAUUUGUUUAUCAAUUUCUAUGAAAUAUGAUGCUUAAAUUCGCUCAAAAAUAAAAUUUUAUAGUUUUAAUGUCAUGACAAAGAGAAAUCAAAAUUUUCAGCAGAAUACAAUUUCAAUCCCAUUUAGACCUUCAAGUCCCCAACUUGGCAGCAAGCAUUGCCCAGUCAUCCAUCUCAACUUAAUAGCGUUAAUUGUGCGCACGGAUCGAUAAGCAAGAAGUUAAAACAGAGAAAUAAAUGAGAUAAUAUGGUGCUAAAAGGCAUCACCAUCACAAGUUAUUGGAACAAAAAUGAAAACAGGAUAGAACAAGAUAGCAAAAAAACUAAUCAAUGCCUGAAAAACAGAAAAUAAGGAAACCCACAAAAUUCAAUAUUCAUAGCAUCACUUCCCAAUUGUGUGAUGGUGAUGAAGGGUAACGCAAGGAUGGAGUUGACUGAUUUAAACCAAAAGGGAAAACUAUAAAACUGAAAGUUUGACAUCGUACCUCUUCACAUCCUGAUUCCAUCAUUACUUUAAUAGAUCUGGUGACAAGUUCGGUGGCUGCACUAUGAAGAAUUUCAACUUAAAUGGAAAAAAACUAUAUCUAUAACAAUAAUUCAACAAACAAACAAGACACAGCAAAGCACAAUUUAAUGCCACCAGCAAGAUAAAUUUAAUAAGCAUAUCCAUGAAAAUGCACAUGUACUAUCAGAAAACCAUGCUUCAAACUUCAAUUCAAUCAAAAAAUGAAACCCCACGAAUAUUUACAAAUCUAAUGCUCAUCAUACACAUCCAUCAACUAAAAUCAUGAGCAAAUAAAUUGAAGGAAGUCCUUAGAAGUAUCAAGUUUUUAGUGUUACCUACCAAUGCCUCUUCCACGAUAAGGUUUGAUGACAACUAACAUAGCAAUGUAGCCCCUCAACGUUGUAUUCCGAUGCUCCCCCAUCUUGCAAACCACAGUCCCAACGCAUUUACCUUUGUGAAACGCCAGGAAAGAGAGCUGAGGCCAUAGAUAGACGAAGUAACGGUAAGUGAAGAUAGAAUAGGGCUCGCUGAGUUCUUGGUCUACGAGGCUCAUAAUUAAUGGCAAGUGGUGUUCGCCGCCGUAGCUUACAUAUUCUAUCUCCAAUGCGUUGAAUUCUGCCUUUUUUUCUCUUUGUUGUUCUACUUCGUUGCUUUUCUCCAUCGUUGUUAAUUUCUCUCUUUCAUUCGCUCGACGGUGACGGUCUGGGGCUGGACGACGGCUAGCGCAAAUGAGUGAUUUUGGGCGGAAUCGGAAGCAAUUAGCACAGGACACGGUGGCUCUCGAGCUUGUGCUUAAUGCGUGUCGGCCCG
rnacentral:misc_RNA from 1 species